UAUUCCAAACCUCUGUGAACCGUGCCCUUCGGGGCUAUUUUACAAACAUGGUGUAAUGAACGUCAUAUAUCAUAACAAAACAAAACUUUCAACAACGGAUCUCUUGGCUCUCGCAUCGAUGAAGAACGCAGCGAAAUGCGAUAAGUAAUGUGAAUUGCAGAAUUCAGUGAAUCAUCGAAUCUUUGAACGCACCUUGCGCCCUCUGGUAUUCCGGAGGGCAUGCCUGUUUGAGUGUCAUGUAGACUCAAUCCCUCGGGUUUCCGAGGAGAUUGGACUUGGGUGUUGCCGCUCUGCCGGCUCGCCUUAAAAGACUUAGCGGGAUAGCACCGUAGUCGGCGUAAUAAGUUUCGUCGGUGAAGGUUGUGAUGACUGCUUACAAUCGCCCUCGGGCAAUUUUUGACUCUGACCUCAAAUCAGGUAGGACUACCCGCUGAACUUAAGCAUAUCAAUAAGCGGAGGAA
rnacentral:misc_RNA from 1 species